rnacentral:rRNA from 1 species
AUUGAACGCUGGCGGCAGGCUUAACACAUGCAAGUCGAGCGGAGAUGAGGUGCUUGCACCUUAUCUUAGCGGCGGACGGGUGAGUAAUGCUUAGGAAUCUGCCUAUUAGUGGGGGACAACAUUCCGAAAGGAAUGCUAAUACCGCAUACGCCCUACGGGGGAAAGCAGGGGAUCUUCGAACCUUGCGCUAAUAGAUGAGCCUAAGUCGGAUUAGCUAGUUGGUGGGGUAAAGGCCUACCAAGGCGACGAUCUGUAGCGGGUCUGAGAGGAUGAUCCGCCACACUGGGACUGAGACACGGCCCAGACUCCUACGGGAGGCAGCAGUGGGGAAUAUUGGACAAUGGGCGGAAGCCUGAUCCAGCCAUGCCGCGUGUGUGAAGAAGGCCUUUUGGUUGUAAAGCACUUUAAGCGAGGAAGAGGCUACCUGGAUUAAUACUCUAGGAUAGUGGACGUUACUCGCAGAAUAAGCACCGGCUAACUCUGUGCCAGCAGCCGCGGUAACAC